rnacentral:lncRNA from 1 species
AAUGCAAGUGAAGAUAAAAAGACAGGGACAUCAGAACUCUGUUUAUGGAGUAAGGAUUGAUCAAGUCUGUAAUGGGAAUCUCUCUGAUGCAUGUAUUUGAUUUUUUUUUUGUUAAUAUCUUCAUAAAAUUCGUUUGUUUGGUUAUUUUGUUUUAUUCCCUCAUUUUAAUUGUUGCCAAUGAUGGUUUAUAAAUAUACUUUGAGUUUACACAAUGAAAAGAAUUUUAUCUGAGGCAACUUGAUUUUUAAACAUUUUAAUUUUUUAAGUUUUUUAAUAAUUUAAAGAAGAUGAUGAUAGAUAAGACAGGGACAUCUGCAUUCCAUUGGAGUAUGAUGAUUUGUCUGUGGGAAUAUCUCUGAUUUUUU